GGCGCACGGCCGCACGGCACUGGACCCACCGAGGCCCGUGGUGGGCGGCCAUAUGAUCGAGAAACGGGGCAUGUACGGGGGCGUCGCUCUUCUGGGCAGUGCGCGGCCAAAAGACGAGGCCCUCGAUGGGAUCGUGCGCCAGGAAGAGAGCAUGAUGCUGCGCGGCGGCAAACGGCGUGUCAUCGAGGAGCAGCCGCGCAGCCGUAUCGACACACACUGUCGGCGACGGGGAGCAUACUGCCGUAUCCCAGCCGAGAGCCGGCUCGCACGUGCGGCCGUCGGCAUAGAUAAAGGCAACGGGCGAUGCUGCGUUGGCGCGCCAGCGCACCCGAUCCCCGUUGGGGUAGGUGACGACGACCGCCGGCAUGCCAUGGUGGUCGCUCUCGGGUUCAGGAGAUACGGCUUUGUCCGGGUCGUCCCUCUGUUCGUCGAGGUCGAUCGUGCGGCCGUCGGCGAGGGUCAAGCGUCCCUUGUGGCCCCCGUGCUCAAUGCACACGUCGCCGUCAUAGGUCGGGCCGCCAUCUCGGGCCAUGAGCCGGCCCACCGCGGGCCGCCACUCGCCCACCUCGCCGACAAAGGCCACAUCGCCCUUGGCCGUGCGAACGAUGCCGGUCUGGGGAGCGUCCCUCGAUGUCGCCAGAGUGCCCACGCCGGCACACGCAGAGUCUUUGGCAGAGACGACGCUCCACGCGCGGGUCGCGUGUCCGGGCAGGCCGCCGCGCCACGUGCCCGACCGCACCACCGAUGGCGCAUGACAGGCGACCUGCGGAUAGAGGUAGUCGGGUCCGAUGAGGAUGCCGUCCCCAUGCGGGCAGCCGUUCACCCAGGGACCCCGGUAGAACCCCACGCACUGAUCGCGAUAGUCGGUCUGCGGCCGGAGGCUGCGCUGCGCCGGCCUGCACCACGCGACGGCGCGCCCCUCCAGAAUGCCGUGCGCCCACUGUCCACUGGCACCACGCGCCACUAUGGCGUGAUCCGUGCUCGACCCCCACGGCACAAAGCACACGGCGUCGGCUGUAGCGUAGCCGUGCGCGACAUACGUUACACACUCGUCGUCACCGCGGAUAUCGACGAGAUCGCCGCGGUAGGUGGCGCCGAGCGAGCACGAGCGCCCGAUGAGAGACGGCGGCGAUCCGUCCAGGUGCGGUCCAAAGAACCGCGGACGGCCGACCGCGGCGACGGCGUAGGCCCAGCGGUAGCCGCGCGCGGCAACGACGUCGGGCCAAUGACGUCGACAACCGCGGCCCACCACAUAAUCAUCGUCGCCCAGUGCGGCAACCUCCUCGGGCAGAGGGAGCGCGCAGCCCUCGGUCGUCUUGGUCGGGUCGAGCAUGAGGUCCAGACCGCGGUCGACGAGGGCCUCCAGGUCUAGACCGGCGACGCUCCGCCCCACGUGCGCGAUGCAGAACUUACCACAGACCGGAAAAAUCGCAUCGUACAGGGUCUUCCACAGGCGCUCGUCGAGGGCAAGACAACGGAGACGCCAGUUGACCGCGCUCACGCGUCCUAUGUCGGCGGGCGCACAGUGGGACAAGACGGCGAGCGCGUCCUCGUCGGCCAACAGGUCCCACACGGCAACGCCGUGCGCUGGCGCCCCGUCUGUCGGAUCGUCUAUGCGGCGUCUUUUGUUGGCGUGUGUGUCGGCGUCGGCCGAGUCCAUCGUAUGGCGCUGGCCGGCGUGUGCGGGUUGGAUGUCUUCGUGUGUGCGUCGGGUUGCAGUCGGGCUGACCGGUUGCAUGUCAUCGUCUGAUUGGUCUAAACAAUAUACAAAAAAAAAGGAUUGACGACAG
rnacentral:lncRNA from 1 species